AUCGGUACCAAGCAUCUGAAUCUAUGACACACAUGCUCACUGCAAAGAUGGCCGGCACACUGAGACCUGAUCUCUGGCCCCCCCCCCAAGUGGAUCAGUGUCACGGUAGUUUACCCCUACACGCAAGAUUUAGUUCAACAAUCGACAGAGCAGAUACGACUUACCGGACCUUAGAAUGGCCGGACUCGCCGUAUAGCAGAGAAUAGACAGUCAAGAACAAGCCGAGGUCAAGGGAACAAAGAGACUGCGAGAACAAAAACUAGCCAAGGUCUGGUACACAGUAGUCAGUAAGCCGGCAAACAAGACAAAACAGGAAUAGAGAGAUAAACGGAGCCAAGGUCAAGCACGAAAAUCACAACUGAACACAACAAGCGCUAAAGGGAACUGAAACAGAAACCACGAUAGGGCAGGGAGUUAAGGGAGAGGUAAGUAUAAAUACCCUAAACUUUACUUUGAUUG